rnacentral:lncRNA from 1 species
GCUUAAAUAAAAGUAAAAUAAAAUAAAAAGAAAUAUUAUUCAACUACAAUAAUGGAGAAGACAAUGGUAGCCAUCUUAUAAUUAAACUACAAUACUCACAUUCUAAAUCACUGAAAUCAGCUAUACCCUUCUUUGAAAUUCCAAAUUCUAAGACAACAGUGGAACCAUACUAAAAAAUAAAAAUAUACAAUUAAUCCAAAUUAAUCACUACAAAGAUAUACACAAAAAAUUCUAAAAUAAAUAAUUUUACCAAAUAAUUAAAAAUUUAGGAACAUAAUUACACAUACUUACCCUCUACGCAUUCAAACCAUCUACUCCUACCAUCACACCUUUAUUUUUUUUCCUUUUACUAUAAAAUUCUCGAUGUUACUUAAGGAUGAACAACAGCAAAAUUAAGUAUCUCUUUUGUUUUAUAGGGAUAGCAAUAGGGACAAGGACACUGAGGAUAGACGAGUUUAAAGCUCACAUUAACGUGUACUAAAAAUCCACAUCAAUCGCAUACUUCUUUGUGCAGAUUUUGCAAUUUAUGAAAAAUUUCUACUAUGAUUAGUGAAGUAACGGAAAUUCAAUACAUAACAAUCAGUUUACACAUGAAGUCUCAGAACGAAAAUACACAAAGACAAUACAGUUUUGGCAGUUUUAUGAACAUGCAUAAUUUAUCAACGCCCAAUGUAGAAUAAAGAAAGCCUAAAUAAAUUUUUUUUUAAAAAAAAGAGAGAGAGCAAUUCAAUUACAAUAAUGGACAAGACAAAGGUAAUCAUCUUCUUUCAAGAUUAUGAAAUCCACAUUGCCGAGCUUAUAAAUCUAGAUAAUCCCCAUGUUUGCACUAUAUUUCUAACUAUAAAUUAUACCCACAGUUCAAUGUUCGACCCCUUUUGCACUUAUAUCUUCAACAUUUUAUACCUGACUUUUUAAGUAGUUCUAUCCUUCUUCAUAGCUUGCUUACUAAAAACCCCGUCAAAAUUAUUCAAAAAAUAGUCUUCUUCUCACACCCCUACCCCAUCUACAACAUGUGCUCCAAGAAUCACACAAGAAUGAACAAAAAACAAAAAAAAUCACAACAUAAGAUGACGUGCAGUUACACGAAUGGUUUUCAUUCUUGCCUCUUCACUGGAGAAGUUCAAAAUCUAAUUUGUACAUACAAAAAAUAGUAAGAACCAUUGCACUGCUAACCGAGAAUUAUUUCAAAUAAAUAAAUCAACAAUAUAAACAGGAAAAGUUACAAACCAUAACGAUGAAGAACACGGAGACGAAAUUACAGUUCAAGAGAGAAGGUAUUGGCAGACUUUUGUUAGAUCCAAAGAGAAAUGCACAAAUCUAAAAAAAAAAAAAAAAAAAAAAAAAAAAAAAAAAAAAAAAAAAAAAAAAAAAAAAAAAAAAAAAAAAAAAAAAAAAAAAAAAGACAAACAAAGGGAGCAUAGAUCUCAUCGAAUAUACGAUCGAAAGGUUGAACCAAGAAGCCACUGAAAGAAAUCAAGGACAGAACGAGAAUUAACAAGAAAAUGAAAAUCAAUUCUUCAAAAUGUGUAGACAAACGACAGUGAGAAAGACGGUCGGAAGAGUGUAAUGUUGGGAAUCUACUUAUACAUGCACAGCGGAAUUUAAAAUAUAUUUCGAUUCCCAUCCAAUAGAUCUCAUUGUGUUUGGUUAGGAAUUGUGAUAAGAUUGUACAUUUUCCAGAUCUGCAAUCCUUUUGCUUUUCUUUUCGUUCCACAACUUUGAUUCGCCAC